rnacentral:rRNA from 1 species
UACGAACUGUGCGAACGUUAUUCGGAAUCACUGGGCUUAAAGGGUGCGUAGGCGGUUACCUAAGUCAGGUGUGAAAUCUCUCGGCUCAACCGGGAAACUGCGCUUGAAACUGGGUGACUGGAGUGAUGCAGGGGUGUGUGGAACUUCCGGUGGAGCGGUGAAAUGUGUAGAUAUCGGAAGGAACGCCAGCAGCGAAAGCGGCACACUGGGCAUUUUCUGACGCUGAGGCACGAAAGCUAGGGGAGUGAAC